rnacentral:rRNA from 1 species
GAUGUGCCCAGAUGGGAUUAGCUAGUAGGUGGGGUAACGGCUCACCUAGGCGACGAUCCCUAGCUGGUCUGAGAGGAUGACCAGCCACACUGGAACUGAGACACGGUCCAGACUCCUACGGGAGGCAGCAGUGGGGAAUAUUGCACAAUGGGCGCAAGCCUGAUGCAGCCAUGCCGCGUGUAUGAAGAAGGCCUUCGGGUUGUAAAGUACUUUCAGCGGGGAGGAAGGGAGUAAGGUUAAUAACCUUGCUCAUUGACGUUACCCGCAGAAGAAGCACCGGCUAACUCCGUGCCAGCAGCCGCGGUAAUACGGAGGGUGCAAGCGUUAAUCGGAAUUACUGGGCGUAAAGCGCACGCAGGCGGUCUGUCAAGUCGGAUGUGAAAUCCCCGGGCUCAACCUGGGAACUGCAUUCGAAACUGGCAGGCUG